UACGGAAGGGGCAAGCGUUGUUCGGAAUCAUUGGGCGUAAAGGGCGCGUAGGUGGUUCUGUAUGUCUACCGUGAAAGCAUACAGCUCAACUGUAUUUUGUCGGUAGAAACUGCAGGACUUGAGGCUGGGAGGGGCUGGUGGAAUUCCCUGUGUAGCGGUGAAAUGCGUAGAGAUCAGGAAGAACACCGGUGGCGAAGGCGCUCUGCUAGGCCGCAACUGACACUGAGGGACGAAAGCUAGGGGAGCGAAUGGG
rnacentral:rRNA from 1 species